CGGCACAUGGGGCUGGGGGCCACCCCGCCCUGCGCAGCCCCAGCCAAGGAAAACCUCGGGGUGAGGAAGAGGAGAGAGCAGUGGCCAUCCCUUGGGUGCUGAGCUCUGCCUGCAGGUGGGACAAGGAGAGGUGGAAUCACAGAAUGGGCAGGGUUGGAAGGGACCCUCAAAGUGGAAACACAAGCGUGUGAAUCACCCGCACAAGAUGCACUGGCUAACGAGGUGUCUGGCACUCCCGGGUGUUCCUGUCAGCACUUCCCCGUGGUCAGACGUCUGGCUGUCCUUUCACCUCCCCACACGUGGAGCUUCAUGUCGAUGGCUCACCCUCCCGGGGUUUAUUGGCACCGUGGCAGAUAAUUGAAUAAAGAUCUUUGCUGUGCAUGGCUGGAGCUCAGCUGCUGACUUUGCUGGCCACAUCAUGGUCCAUCUGUGCUGUCCCUGAAGAGCAAAAGCAGCUCUGAGCAGGGUCUCUGAAGCCUGUCCUGACCCUUCUGGCUCUGGGGUUUGUGUUGCUGAGGACAGAACUGGAGGGAAGACCCUGCUCCUUUAGAGGAACAGGAUACCUGGGGCAGUCCUUUCCACCUGCAGAUAAUGGAACAGGGUACCUGGGGCAGUCCUUUCCACCUGCAGAUAAUGGAACAGGAUCCCUGGGACAGUCCUUUCCACCUGCAGAUAAUGGAACAGGGUACCUGGGACAGUCCUUUCCACCUGCAGAUAAUGGAACAGGGUACCUGGGACAGUCCUUUCCACCUGCAGAUAAUGGAACAGGGUACCCGGGGCAGUCCUUUCCACCUGCAGAUAAUGGAACAGGGUACCUGGGGCAGUCCUUUCCACCUGCAGAUAAUGGAACAGGGUACCUGGGGCAGUCCUUUCCACCUGCAGAUAAUGAGGACAUCUUCCCAGAGACACAGAUGGUCCCAUCCCCUUUGGAUGGCUUGGACAUCACCUAGUGCCACACUGCAUCACAGAGCUUUGGGCACUGAGCAGGCAGGGCAGAUGAAGAUUUAUUUUCUCAUGGCCCAGGCUGCUGGAGACACCAGGACUGUGGGAAAUGUGCUUUAGGCUCUGCUGCAACAGAACUCUUCCUUCACCUGAAGCAUCAUUACUGGUCACUGCUGAAGAUGGAGCACAAGGAGAUGGACACCUUUCUGUGGAAAACUCUCCUUUCCAAGCUGAAGAUGGUCCUGCUGCUCCUGCUGCCAGCAAAGACUGGAGGAGCUCCACAUCCAGCCCAGCUUCAUUGCAGUGCAGUUCCCAUCCACCUCUGGAUGAGGGAGACAACUCACCACAAAGCCAAGGGGUGUUCAGCAAGGACAGGAUGGAGGGGCCCAAUUUAGAGCACCAGAAGCAAGCCCAGCUCAUACACAAGCCCUCUUUAAAACCUUGCUUUUCUUCCAGGUCAUUUUCCAUGGACAAGUGACCCUUCCUGCCUCACACUACAGAGCAAGCAGAUGCUGAAGGUGAACCAAGUCACUCCCUGCAGGAAAGAGUGAAAGGAAAAUGAAUCAAAAAAGGAAAUCAAAAUCAAUAUUACAAAGUCAAAUAAUAAAAAUUGCGUUAUGGAAACAAAGGUCACCCAGGGAAAAAUGUAAUUGGACAUGACAGCCUAGAUUUCCCCUCCCUGCCAAUCCCAGGUGGGGAGACCUUGUGCCCAAGCCAAAGUGUCACCUGGCCAUGUUGCUGAAGCUCCACACGGUCUGUACAGCUGUCAGCAGCUGCAGGAAGGAUGGAGGAGAGAAACCUGGGGCAGCUGGUCUGAAAUAGCAGAGGUCUUGCAGGGCAGCAAUGAGCUGUGCUGGCAAAUCCACCUGGGGAGCCCAGCAGGGAAUAAAGGAGCCUGGCCAGCUCAGGAGUGAGAUGUGCUGAAUCCUGAGGGCUGCAGGAGAUCCAGCCUUGGGAAAGGCAGCACUGCCUCUGAGCAGAGUGGCACCAGCACAGGGAUGUGCACAGAGGAGAGGGAACGUGUUUGCUUCCAGUGGAAAAAGUGUCUCGCAGCCCGUGGCCCUCACUCGGUGACAGAUGAGUUUGUCACAGGCACCAGACAGCUCAUGCUCCCCAGCACUGGGCUGGGAGAGCUCAAUGUGACCCUGGCACCAGCUCCAGGCCUGGUGACACCAGCUCCUGGCAGGGGGACACCCAGGUCUCUCCCAGACCAGAUGCUGGGACAUCCCAGUCUGUGCCUCAGUGAUCACCUCCACACCCAGCUCCUGCAGUCCAGCAGCUCAAGGACAGCAGCACAGGGGUCCCAGAACACUUGGAUGUCACCAGAGGAGGGGUGGCAGCCAUGCCCAGCCAGGGGAAGCAGUCCUGGCCUCUCCUGGAGCCCUCUGCCAGCCCAGCUCCAUGGGCAGCUCUGGGGAUCUGCAGAAAGGAACCAGUGAAAAAGCCAACAUGGGCAGCUCUUACCUUGGGAGAGCAGGAAAAUGGAAAAUUUGGCCUUCUAACUUCAGGAAUCUGGUUCCCUGUCCCUUCCACAGACCUGAGCUCAAAGCCCUGGGAGACAGAGCCCAUGUCCCUUGAGGUGGCAGCUGAGCUAAACAAGAGCUUGCACAUGAUUUGGGCCUUGCUCAGCUUAAUGUGGCUUGGCUCCUCUUUUAAUUAAUAAAUACUUAAUUACCUAGUUAAUAUUUUAAUAUUUCCUUUUAAAAACAUCUGAUUUAAUGGAAUUACUGCCAGCUAUUUGUUUUGUUUGACUUUUAUGUUUAUUUUCCUCUUUCAUUUCUCAUUUCCCCCUCCAGCCCACUGCUCUAAUCUCUGAAGCUCCCAACUGAUCUUUGCUACUGGAAAUUAGGAGGAAAAUUGCUAGAAAUUGCUACUGGAAAUUUCCAGGCUUUUAGGUGAAAUGCAGUCUGGCCCUUGGUGCUGGCAUCCACCAGCCUGAGGUGGUAAUGUGGGUUAUCAGCACUGGAUACCCCCCAGCCCCUGGGGAGGGGAGGAGAGGGCAGGGCAGGUAGAGGGGAGGUGGCCAGGAAGGGAAGGUGGGACAAUGGGAUUGUUAAAAAUAGGUUGGAAACUCUACUGGGAGUGUGGUCCCAUUUUUGAUAGGAUGAGCCCCAAGGACAUCCCCAAAGAUGGGGAGAGCCCCGAGCCUUGUUUGCCUUUCAAACCUCACCUGGCUGCACAGCCUGUGUCAGGAGCAGCUCACCUGCACCCAGGCCAGCGUGGAGAAGGGCUCCAGCUGUGGGGAUGACAGAGGAUGUGACCUGCAGUGGCAGCUCCUCUCUUCCUCUGCUCAGCCUUUGGCGCCUUGCUGCAGCUCCUCUGGCUCCAGGGUACUGCACAUGGUGGGGGGAUGCACCAAGAGAGUCACUGAAUUAAAGCAGCUAUUGCGUCCUUUCCUUUCCUUUCCUUUCCUUUCCUUUCCUUUCCUUUCCUUUCCUUUCCUUUCCUUUCCUUUCCUUUCCUUUCCUUUCCUUUCCUUUCCUUUCCUUUCCUUUCCUUUCCUUUCCUUUCCUUUCCUUUCCUUUCCUUU